GGAAACGAGCCAUCUGGCAUAGACAUCUGCCAUAACAUUGACCUUCAGGGUAUCUUGGCUGCUCUGCCUGGCCCGGCAGGUGCCUACAUCUUUCUUCAUAACUCUUGGUUGUUCUUCCAUAUUGGCCACCUUUUCUCAUAUAGAAGAGAGUGUUUUUAAUUAAGGUUAUAGGAACAUGAAUGUAACUUUUUAGAACCUCUAAAAUCAGAUUUAAAAGACCAUAAAAAGUACAAUUACUUUCACUUAUUUCCAGAAAAUUCACUAUAGAUAGUAAUUUUUCACU
rnacentral:snRNA from 1 species